AAUCAACGCUGGCGGCGUGCCUAACACAUGCAAGUCGAACGCGAAAGCCCCUUCGGGGGUAAGUAGAGUGGCGUCCGGGUGAGUAACACGUGGGUAAUCUACCUUCGGGUGGGGAAUAACUCAGGGAAACUUGAGCUAAUACCGCAUAAUGCAGCGGCACCUAAUGGUGAUUAGUUGUUAAAGCGGGGGAUCGCAAGACCUCGCGCCUGAAGAGGAGCCUGCGGCAGAUUAGCUAGNGGUGAGGUAAUGGCUCACCAAGGCUUCGAUCUGUAGCUGGUCUGAGAGGACGGCCAGCCACACUGGCACUGACACACGGGCCAGACUCCUACGGGAGGCAGCAGUGGGGAAUUUUGGGCAAUGGGCGAAAGCCUGACCCAGCAACGCCGCGUGAGGGAGGAAAUCCUUCGGGAUGUAAACCUCACAAGCAAGGGAAGAGAGCUACGGGCUGAAUAAUCCCGUAGUGCGACGGUACCUUGCGUAAGCCACGGCUAACUACGUGCC
rnacentral:rRNA from 1 species